GUAUACAGAGGCCCAAGCGUUAGGCGGAAUCACUGGGCUUAAAGCGUGUGUAGGCGGGAUGGUAAGUACUUUGUGAAAUCCCACGGCUUAACUGUGGAACUGCUUAGUAUACUGCCGUUCUUGAGUCAUUUAGGGGCAGCCGGAACAGAUGGUGGAGCGGUGAAAUGCGUAGAUAUCAUCUGGAACGCCAAUGGUGCAGACAGGCUGCUGGGAAUGAACUGACGCUGAGGCACGAAAGCCAGGGGAGCGAACGGGAUUAGAUACCCCGGUAGUCCUGGCCCUAAACGAUGUCUACUAGAUCGUGGCGGCACUGACGCCGUCAUGGUCGAAGCAAAAGUGUUAAGUAGACCGCCUGGGAAGUACGGUCGCAAGGCUAAAACUCAAAGAAAUUGACGGGGGCUCACACAAGCGGUGGAGCAUGUGGUUCAAUUCGAAGCAACGCGAAGAACCUUACCUGGGCUUGACAUAGCUAGGAUUAUCUCGGUGAAAGUCGAGUAGGCCUCGCAAGAGGUACAACUAGUACAGGUGCUGCAUGGCUGUCGUCAGCUCGUGUCGUGAGAUGUCGGGUUAAGUCCCUUAACGAGCGAAACCUUUGCCCUUAGUUACCAGCGGGUCAUGCCGGGGACUCUAGGGGGACUGCCGGUGUCAAACCGGAGGAAGGUGGAGAUGACGUCAAGUCCUCAUGGCCUUUAUGCCCAGGGCUACACACGUGCUACAAUGGCGUCCACAAAGCGAACCGAAAACGCGAGUUCGAGGAAAUCGCAGAAAUGACGCCUCAGUUCAGAUUGGAGGCUGCAACUCGCCUCCAUGAAGCUGGAAUCGCUAGUAAUCGCGGAUC
rnacentral:rRNA from 1 species